rnacentral:rRNA from 1 species
ACACAGCACUGUGCAAACACGAAAGUGGACGUAUACGGUGUGACGCCUGCCCGGUGCCGGAAGGAUAAUUGAUGGGGUUAUCCGUAAGGAGAAGCUCUUGAUCGAAGCCCCGGUAAACGGCGGCCGUAACUAAAACGGUCAAAAGGUAGCGAAAUUCCUUGUCGGGUAAGUUCCGACCUGCACGAAUGGCGUAUUGAUGGCCAGGCUGUCUCCACCCGAGACUCAGUGAAAUUGAACUCGCUGUGAAGAUGCAGUGUACCCGCGGCAAGACGGAAAGACCCCGUGAACCUUUACUAU